UACAAAGCAAUGAACAGAAAUAGUAGGGAUAUGUGAAAUUUUCAGAGAACCGAUGAUGCUGUGAUUUCGGUAAUUUCAAAAUCUUGAACUCGUCUGCAAGCUGUCUCCUGAAAUUAGUAGGGUAGAACGUGUUCCUUCGUUAUAAGGAUAAAUGGUAAUUGCCGUUGAUAAAGUGGGUUUUAUAAUGGAACUAAUUAGAGUGGUACCGCGGGUUAGCCUCGUCUCUUUU
rnacentral:ncRNA from 1 species